GAUUUCUGGUUUGACAUGCCUGGCCCGCCACGUCACCGUGUGUGAGUGCCGGUGCGUGUCUGCCAUCCUUCUGGGUUAUCAACCCUGUCUGCCCUUCACUGGGUUGGAUAGGGUCGAUCCAGAUCAUUUACUUUGAAAAAAUUAGAGUGUUUAAAGCAGGCUUACGCUAUGAAUACAUUAGCAUGGAAUAAUAAUUUAGGACUUUGGUCCUAUUUUGUUGGUUUCUAGGACUGAAGUAAUGAUUGAUAGGGAUAGUUGGGGGUGCUCGAAUUCAGCGGCCAGAGGUGAAAUUCUUGGAUUCGCUGAAGACGAACUCAUGCGAAAGCAUU
rnacentral:rRNA from 1 species